CAGCCGCCGCGGUAAUACGUAGGUCCCGAGCGUUGUCCGGAGUUAUUGGGCGUAAAGGGCUCGCAGGCGGUUUCUUAAGUCUGAUGUGAAAGCCCCCGGCUCAACCGGGGAGGGUCAUUGGAAACUGGGAAACUUGAGUGCAGAAGAGGAGAGUGGAAUUCCACGUGUAGCGGUGAAAUGCGUAGAGAUGUGGAGGAACACCAGUGGCGAAGGCGACUCUCCGGUCUGUAACUGACGCUGAGGAGCGGAAGCGUGGGGAGCGAACAGGAUUAGAUACCCCCGUAGUCCCUGUCUCUUAUAC
rnacentral:rRNA from 1 species